GAUCAUCCAUGAUCCUGAUCUAGUCAUGACUUGAUUUGAUCAUGUUGAUUUCACCAAUCGAGAUAUUGGACCAAUCAUAAUGUUGGAUUGUGUCACCUGAUUAAUUUGAAUUGUAUCUCAUGAAUUCUCUCUCCUCUAAUUGUCUCUCUCUACUUGAUUUUAUGAAAUCGAUGAAGAAACCUCGGUCCUAUCACUUCGAAUCUGAUUUGAUCUGAUAGUCAAACUUUGGAUCGUUUAGGUCCUAAUUAGAUUUUGAUUAGAUGAAAUUAGAU
rnacentral:lncRNA from 1 species